rnacentral:rRNA from 1 species
GAUGAACGCUGGCGGCGUGCCUAAUACAUGCAAGUCGAGCGAACGGACGAGAAGCUUGCUUCUCUGAUGUUAGCGGCGGACGGGAGAGUAACACGUGGAUAACCUACCUAUAAGACUGGGAUAACUUCGGGAAACCGGAGCUAAUACCGGAUAAUAUUUUGAACCGCAUGGUUCAAAAGUGAAAGACGGUCUUGCUGUCACUUAUAGAUGGAUCCGCGCUGCAUUAGCUAGUUGGUAAGGUAACGGCUUACCAAGGCAACGAUGCAUAGCCGACCUGAGAGGGUGAUCGGCCACACUGGAACUGAGACACGGUCCUGACUCCUACGGGAGGCAGCAGUAUGGAAUCUUCCGCAAUGGGCGGAAGCCUUACGGAGCAACGCCGCGUGAGUGAUGAAGGUCUUCGGAUCGUAAAACUCUGUUAUUAGGGAAGAACAUAUGUGUAAGUAACUGUGCACAGCUUGACGGUACCUAAUCAGAAAGCCACGGCUAACUACGUG